UAGUCCACGCCGUAAACGAUGGAUACUAGCUGUUGGGUUUCGGCUCAGUGGCUAAGCGAAAGUGAUAAGUAUCCCACCUGGGGAGUACGUUCGCAAGAAUGAAACUCAAAGGAAUUGACGGGGGCCCGCACAAGCGGUGGAGCAUGUGGUUUAAUUCGAUGAUACGCGAGGAACCUUACCAGGGCUUAAAUGUAAGUUGCAUGAUCCAGAGAUGGGUCUUUCUUCGGACCACUUACAAGGUGCUGCAUGGUUGUCGUCAGCUCGUGCCGUGAGGUGUCAGGUUAAGUCCUAUAACGAGCGCAACCCCUGUUGUUAGUUGCCAGCAUGUAAAGAUGGGAACUCUAACAAGACUGCCGGUGCAAACCGCGAGGAAGGUGGGGAUGACGUCAAAUCAUCACGGCCCUUACGUCCUGGGCCACACACGUGCUACAAUGGUAUGGACAAUGAGCAGCCAUCUGGCAACAGAGAGCAAAUCUACAAACCAUAUCAC
rnacentral:rRNA from 1 species